rnacentral:rRNA from 1 species
GAUGAACGCUAGCGACAGGCUUAACACAUGCAAGUCGAGGGGCAUCGGGGUGUGGCAACACACUGCCGGCGACCGGCGCACGGGUGAGUAACGCGUAUGCAACUUGCCUAUCAGAGGGGGAUACCCCGGCGAAAGUCGGACUAAUACCGCAUAAAACAGGGGUCCCGCAUGGGAAUAUUUGUUAAAGAUUCAUCGCUGAUAGAUAGGCAUGCGUUCCAUUAGGCAGUUGGCGGGGUAACGGCCCACCAAACCGACGAUGGAUAGGGGUUCUGAGAGGAAGGUCCCCCACAUUGGUACUGAGACACGGACCAAACUCCUACGGGAGGCAGCAGUGAGGAAUAUUGGUCAAUGGCCGGGAGGCUGAACCAGCCAAGUCGCGUGGAGGAUGAAGGUCCUAUGGAUUGUAAACUUCUUUUGUGCGGGAAUAAAGUCGGGGACUCGUCCCCGUUUGCAUGUACCGCACGAAUAAGCAUCGGUUAACUCCGUGCCAGCCGCCGCGGUAACAC